GUGGGGAAUAUUGGUCAAUGGCCGGGAGGCUGAACCAGCCAAGUAGCGUGAGGGAUGACGGCCCUAUGGGUCUUAAACCUCUUUUGUUGGGGAGCAAAGUGGUCCACUUGUGGGCUAUUGCGAGUACCCUUCGAAUAAGCAUCGGCUAACUCCGUGCCAGCAGCCGCGGUAAUACGGAGGAUGCGAGCGUUAUCCGGAUUUAUUGGGUUUAAAGGGAGCGCAGACGGAUGGUUAAGUCGGCUGUCAAAUGUCGCCGCCCAACGGCGUCCUGCGGUUGAUACUGGCCAUCUUGAGUGCGGCAUGGGCACGCGGAAUUCACGGUGUAGCGGUGAAAUGCUUAGAUAUCGUGAAGAACUCCGAUCGCGAAGGCAGCGUGCCGGACCGUUACUGACGUUGAGGCUCGAAAGCGCGGGUAUCAAACAGG
rnacentral:rRNA from 1 species